GCUUACGGCCACACCGCCUGGUUCACGCCCGAUCUCGUUUGAUCUCGGAAGCUAAGAUAGGGUGGGCCUGGUUAGUAUUGGAUGGGAGACCGCCUGGGAAUACCAGGUGUUGUAAGAU
rnacentral:rRNA from 1 species